rnacentral:rRNA from 1 species
GCAAGUCGAACGCUGAAGCCUGGUGCUUGCACCGGGUGGAUGAGUGGCGAACGGGUGAGUAACACGUGAGUAACCUGCCCCUGACUUCGGGAUAAGCCCGGGAAACUGGGUCUAAUACCGGAUACGACUGCCGGACGCAUGUCUGGUGGUGGAAAGUUUUUUCGGUUGGGGAUGGGCUCGCGGCCUAUCAGUUUGUUGGUGAGGUAAUGGCUCACCAAGACGACGACGGGUAGCCGGCCUGAGAGGGCGACCGGCCACACUGGGACUGAGACACGGCCCAGACUCCUACGGGAGGCAGCAGUGGGGAAUAUUGCACAAUGGGGGAAACCCUGAUGCAGCGACGCAGCGUGCGGGAUGACGGCCUUCGGGUUGUAAACCGCUUUCAGCAGGGAAGAAGCGCAAGUGACGGUACCUGCAGAAGAAGUACCGGCUAACUACGUGCCAGCAGCCGCGGUAAUACGUAGGGUACGAGCGUUGUCCGGAAUUAUUGGGCGUAAAGAGCUCGUAGGUGGUUGGUCACGUCUGCUGUGGAAACGCAACGCUUAACGUUGCGCGUGCAGUGGGUACGGGCUGACUAGAGUGCAGUAGGGGAGUCUGGAAUUCCUGGUGUAGCGGUGAAAUGCGCAGAUAUCAGGAGGAACACCGGUGGCGAAGGCGGGACUCUGGGCUGUAACUGACACUGAGGAGCGAAAGCAUGGGGAGCGAACAGGAUUAGAUACCCUGGUAGUCCAUGCCGUAAACGUUGGGCACUAGGUGUGGGGGGCAUUCCACGUUCUCCGCGCCGUAGCUAACGCAUUAAGUGCCCCGCCUGGGGAGUACGGUCGCAAGGCUAAAACUCAAAGGAAUUGACGGGGGCCCGCACAAGCGGCGGAGCAUGCGGAUUAAUUCGAUGCAACGCGAAGAACCUUACCAAGGCUUGACAUACACCGGACCGUCCUGGAAACAGGUCCUCUUCUUUGAAGCUGGUGUACAGGUGGUGCAUGGUUGUCGUCAGCUCGUGUCGUGAGAUGUUGGGUUAAGUCCCGCAACGAGCGCAACCCUCGUUCUAUGUUGCCAGCACGUGAUGGUGGGAACUCAUAGGAGACUGCCGGGGUCAACUCGGAGGAAGGUGGGGAUGACGUCAAAUCAUCAUGCCCUUUAUGUCUUGGGCUUCACGCAUGCUACAAUGGCUGGUACAGAGAGAGGCGAACCCGUGAGGGCAAGCGAAUCCCUUAAAGCCAGUCUCAGUUCGGAUCGUAGUCUGCAAUUCGACUACGUGAAGUCGGAGUCGCUAGUAAUCGCAGAUCAGCAACGCUGCGGUGAAUACGUUCCCGGGCCUUGUACCCACCGCCCGU